rnacentral:lncRNA from 1 species
CCGCUUUGCGCGCCAGACGAUGCAUCUUCUGGAACGGCAGCUGAGAAUCAGAGGGACCCUGAGCUUGUUUUCCUGCAACUAGAUGGUCCCAUCUGGGGGUGAUGGGAGACAGUGACAGAUCAUCAGGCCUUGGAUUCUCAUAAGAAGCACGCAACCUAGAUCCCUCACAUGUGCCGUUCACAACAGGUUUCAUGCUCUUGUGCACAUCCAAUGGUUCCUAAAGGGCCACAGACCGGUACUGGUCCUUGGCCCAGGGGUUGAGGACCCCUGUUCUAUAAGGUCGGGAGAGAGGCCUCAGAAGAAACCAACCCUGCCGAGACACCUUGAUCUCAGACUUCAGCCUCCAGAACUGCGCGGUGAUGCGUUCCUGUUGAAGGCACUCUGACCGCAGUGGCUUGCCGUGGCAGCCCUCGACAACAAAUACAGGGUCUGUUGAACCAAAUGAAUCCAAAAUGUAUGCCCAAAGAUAGCCGCCAGGUCUAUGAAAACACCUGCUCUGAUAUGAGGGGACGUGGACCACAGAGAGAUGGGGUUUCACCAUAUUGGCCAGGCUGGUCUUGAACUCAAGAUGAUUCGCCCAACACAGCCUCUCAAAGUGCUGGGAUUACAGUCUCCGGUAUGUCAUUAUCAGCAGUGUGAAAAUGGACUCACUCCCACCCUGUCUGGAUCUGGACAAGAGCCCACCACCCCGUUGGCAGUAGUCAGGCAGCUCUGCUUCUAAGAACCUGCAGCUUUUGGAAGAAAGGCACCCUGUGGUUUCAGAAGCCCAAGAGUCCCUGCAGCUCAGCACCCCCAGCCUGGUGCUUGGCAGAUGACUGCCUCCUCACUUAGCAGAGGGA